rnacentral:rRNA from 1 species
AGAUUACAUCUCCCAAACCCCUGUGAACAUACCUUUAUAGUUGCUUCGGCGGGUCUUUGCCCUGGAAACAGGUGCCCGCCGGGGACCCCAAACCCUUGAUUUUUUACUAGAUUGUCUGAGUGGAAUCAUAUCAAAUGAAUCAAAACUUUCAACAACGGAUCUCUUGGUUCUGGCAUCGAUGAAGAACGCAGCGAAAUGCGAUAAGUAAUGUGAAUUGCAGAAUUCAGUGAAUCAUCGAAUCUUUGAACGCACAUUGCGCCCGCCAGUAUUCUGGCGGGCAUGCCUGUUCGAGCGUCAUUUCAACCCUCAAGCCCCCAGGGGCCUGGUGUUGGGGGACGGCGACCGCACUGCCCUGGCGCAGCGCCCGCCGCCCCCGAAAUGAAUUGGCGGUCUCGCCGUGGCCUCCUCUGCGUAGUAGCACAACCUCGCAACAGGAGCCCGGCGCGUCCACUGCCGUAAAACGCCCCAACUUUUCUCAGAGUUGACCUCGAAUCAGGUAGGAAUACCCGCUGAACUUAAGCAUAUCAAUAAGCGGAGGAAA